rnacentral:rRNA from 1 species
UACAGAGGUCGCGAGCGUUGUUCGGAUCUACUGGGCGUAAAGGGCGCGUAGGCGGCGGGGCGUGUCAAGUGUGAAAUCUCCGGGCCCAACCCGGAAAGUGCGCUUGAAACUACCCCGCUCGAGUGCGGAAGGGGGAAUCGGAAUAUAGGGUGUAGCGGUGAAAUGCGUUGAUAUCCUAUAGAACACCGGAGGCGAAGGCGGAUUCCUUGUACGCAACUGACGCUGAGGCGCGAAGCCGGGGGAGCAAACA